rnacentral:rRNA from 1 species
AACGCUGGCGGCGUGCCUAAUACAUGCAAGUCGAGCGAACGGACGAGAAGCUUGCUUUUCUGAUGUUAGCGGCGGACGGGUGAGUAACACGUGGAUAGCCUACCUAUAAGACUGGGAUAACUUCGGGAAACCGGAGCUAAUACCGGAUAAUAUUUUGAACCGCAUGGUUCAAAAGUGAAAGACGGUCUUGCUGUCACUUAUAGAUGGAUCCGCGCUGCAUUAGCUAGUUGGUAAGGUAACGGCUUACCAAGGCAACGAUGCAUAGCCGACCUGAGAGGGUGAUCGGCCACACUGGAACUGAGACACGGUCCAGACUCCUACGGGAGGCAGCAGUAGGGAAUCUUCCGCAAUGGGCGAAAGCCUGACGGAGCAACGCCGCGUGAGUGAUGAAGGUCUUCGGAUCGUAAAACUCUGUUAUUAGGGAAGAACAUAUGUGUAAGUAACUGUGCACAUCUUGACGGUACCUAAUCAGAAAGCCACGGCUAACUACGUG